rnacentral:rRNA from 1 species
UGCAGUGGCCAAACUUCCUUGUCAAAGCCUGAUCUCGUCAAAUCUCAGAAAUUAAGCAGGGCCAGGCCUGGUUAGUACUUGGAUGCGAGACCACUGGGAAUACCAGGUACCAUAAGGU